UUAUCCUCAGAGACCAAUGCAAUUGAAUCUAUUUUCUAUUUUUGUAGGAGGGGCUCUGGGUCUUCUCCAGCGAUCCCAACAGGUAGACUCUUUAGCUAACCUGAGCGAGCCGGUGUGCUGACAGUGACUGGAGGAGAGAUCUUGCUGGUUAAACAGCCAUGGUGAAAGCAGAAGUGGAUUCUCACAUCUGUUUAUGGCAUCUGGAGUGAAUUGGACUCGGAGCAGGCUGAGCUGGCUUCUGAGGAAACUGGCCUCCAAGCAGAAAACCAGAAAUAGAGGUGCAGGCAUUGCAUCUAUCUCAUCAUCCCUCCAGCAUCUGUCCCUCCAGGGACAUGUAGCUCUGCAGUCCCUUGACCUCCUCCUUUUUCCCUGGAGUGGGCCCGGAUGGCAAGAAAGCUGUGUGGCACUUCCAAGCCAUUCCCCAUGGGAAUGGAAAGCUGCCAUUCAAUCACCGUCUGGAGGGACACAUCUUACCCAACCAGCUGAACGUGCACUUGGAAUAGGGUAAUGGAGAUGGGUAAUUGACUUUCUGUUGUUUUUCUAAGUGGUGCUGGUGGCAUUCAAAGUGACCCUGCAAGCAGGGUGAGGUGGGAUGAAUGGAGUGGAGAUGGACAGGAACUGGAAAUAUUUGUGGUUUAUGAGAUAAAACAAAGUG
rnacentral:lncRNA from 1 species